rnacentral:rRNA from 1 species
AUUGAACGCUGGCGGCAUGCUUUACACAUGCAAGUCGAACGGUAACAGGGAGCUUGCUCCGCUGACGAGUGGCGAACGGGUGAGUAAUGCAUCGGAACGUGCCGUGUAGUGGGGGAUAACGUAGCGAAAGUUACGCUAAUACCGCAUACGCCCUGAGGGGGAAAGUGGGGGACCGCAAGGCCUCACGCUAUACGAGCGGCCGAUGUCGGAUUAGCUAGUUGGUAGGGUAAAGGCCUACCAAGGCGACGAUCCGUAGCGGGUCUGAGAGGAUGAUCCGCCACACUGGGACUGAGACACGGCCCAGACUCCUACGGGAGGCAGCAGUGGGGAAUUUUGGACAAUGAGCGCAAGCCUGAUCCAGCCAUGCCGCGUGAGUGAAGAAGGCCUCGGUU